rnacentral:lncRNA from 10 species
GGAAUCAGGAUGAUGCUGGUCUCAGAAUGAGUUAGGGAAUAAUACUUCCUCCUCGAUGUUUUGGAAUGGUUUCAGUCAGACUGAUGCCAGCUCUUCUUCGUAUGGCUGAAUCAUACUGAUCCUACCAGUGGAUGGAGGACUUUUCCAUGGUAACAUUCCUCUGAACACAAACGAUCUCUGCAAUCUGAAAGCAACUACUUAGGGAUGCUACUCCUGCCAACUCCAAGUCCUGAUUAGCUGGAACCUUGGAUGGAAAAGAGUGCCCACAGAACAAGUGAUACCUUGUGUUCUAUUUAUUGAUGAGAUGAAAAGAAGACACAAACUGUGACUUCUAUAUCUCUGCAUUAUGAUCGUUGCCACAAAACACUGGUAAACAAUACCUGCUCUAAGUAAGAAACCAAAUACAACAAAUACAUUCUUUAUUUUUAAAUAAUGAAACAAUAGUAAAGUCAACUGACUCUGAGGUGCCUUCAUCCUCCUCAAAGAUUCUGUGCCUCCUACUUGCAUACAAAUUUACAAUUUAUAAGGGUAAAUAUUGGAUAAGUCUCUAACACUCUUUGAAACACCCAGACUUGCUGAGACACUCAAGCACUAAUAGGAGUACAGAGAGGCAGAAAGAGAUAAAAUGUCAAUAGUAAUCUAUUGCUAUAGCUUUAAUGCUCCAGCAUUAAAAAGAUAGAGAACAAAAUAUGAGGCACAGUGAAGUCUAACCAGUAAUUAAGGUGAUUACAAGUGCCCAGAAACCCAUAGACUUAAAUAUUUGAUUUUAGACAUAUUCAAUUUAGAUUCU